UGAAGAGAUUUGUCCUCUGUUGCCCUUUGAAAAAGGGAUCGUUGGUGCUAGUGAUGCUUAGUUAUUCUUCUGGGCACAUUCACUGUCCCUGUCUAUGCCAAGCUGUGACACCGUUUCUGGUCCAGCUGGAGGUGCCUGACUUGCUCAUUUUGCCAGAGGCUAAAGGAAGAUUGAUCAGGAAGAGUUCAGUCACUGGGUUGAAGAUACAGAGUGGAUGGCAUGGAGAUGUCAUGGCAUGGCAGAGAUUAGAACAGAACAGAGUACAGCAGAAUAUAUUUCUGAAGCUGAUGGCUGCUUCACCAUCCUAUUCCCUGGCCUCCUGAUCUUGAGGCCUAUUCUGUUAUGGCAGAAGGAGCGAGAGAGGUUAACUGGGGGAUUAACUGCUCCAUAUACAACCCGCACAGUUUAUGCACUGGAGGAACAUAUGCAGUGAUCUUCCAGGAAAAGCAGUAAUGUGGUUUCCUGGCAGGAUGGGAGAAAUAAAGCAAUGCCUGUCCUUUGUAUGGGAGUUAAGUGGUUUUGGGUCACUUGAUCUACUCUUUGCAAUAGGAAAGACUGCACAUGUAGAGGGACAGCUCGGGAGGUAUUAUAAAUAUUAGGAUGACAUGGCAGCUUAGCUGUUAAUUUUCCAUUAUUUAUUUAUUUAUAAAACUGAUUCUAGGAGCAUCCCCUGCCUCAGGGGAUGUCAAAGGGCCUGUGAAAGGGUCUUCCUCUUCAAAGGUUGCGAUAGCGUCCCAGGGACUUAUUUGUCAGCACAACUGACAAUGGCAUCACAGUAGCUGCACUGUGCUUUGAGGCCUUUCUUGAGGAUCCUGGUGCAAGACAGAGAAGAAUUCACCAGGAGGAGGUUGUCCAUUUAUGCAAAAUCUUCUGUUUAUAAAAUUUUGCUGCUGAAGAAAAGUUGACCAAGAAUCAAAUCUCUUCUGUGUGCGCAAGGCUACAACAGUCAGUUCUGUACUCAUUUUGCACUUCCUUUUCUUUCCCCCCACAAUUCUGUCAUUCAACGUAUGCUCAUAGGAGACUUCAAGAGAAGCUGCCAACAACAUUAUCAACAUCAAGAGACAGACACACCAAUGUAAUUGAAAAGGUCUUAAUAACAGGCAUGGGUAGUUGCAAUUUGCUCCCUCUUCAAAGGCAAAAAUGAAAGAGGAAAACAAAAUGCUCUAACAAAUCAGAUGUGCACAGAAGUGCCUCUUGCAGCCAGAGGAGGUUGGUUGGUAGGGUUGAAAGUCAGAGAAUUUCACCCCACGAUUUAUCUUUCAACCAGGUAAGGGCAGGAUUAGCAUGUGGGCUCUCCAAAGCUGCUCCCCCAGUGAGAAGGAAGAGCCAUUCAUCACUAUUUACUGGGCUUUUGUUCUGCUGAAAGCCCUUGCAGAG
ensembl:lncRNA